GCACAAGCGGUGGAUGAUGUGGUUAAUUCGACGCAACGCGAAGAACCUUACCAGGGCUUGACAUCUACAGGAUCUUGAGGAAACUCAGGAGUGCCCUUCGGGGAACUGUAAGACAGGUGGUGCAUGGUUGUCGUCAGCUCGUGUCGUGAGAUGUUGGGUUAAGUCCCGCAACGAGCGCAACCCCUAUGUUUAGUUGCUAGCGAGUAAGGUCGAGCACUCUAGACAGACUGCCGGUGAUAAACCGGAGGAAGGUGGGAUGACGUCAAAUCAUCAUGCCCCUUAUGUUCUGGGCUACACACGUGCUACAAUGGCCGGUACAGACGGACGCAAAGCCGCGAGGUGGAGCAAAUCCUAAAAAGCCGGUCUCAGUUCGGAUUGCAGGCUGCAAUUCGCCUGCAUGAAGUCGGAAUCGCUAGUAAUCGCAGGUCAGCAUACUGCGGUGAAUACGUUCCCGGGCCUU
rnacentral:rRNA from 1 species